rnacentral:lncRNA from 1 species
CUGACAGUUUUGUAUUUUCAAUGUGAAUAAAAGUUGGUUUGCAAAACAUGACCGUCAUUUAUAUCUAGGUCUUGUUAAGAAGAAGUGACGGUAACCACUUAUCCCAUAAACAUUGACAAUGAGACAACUUUCUUUUAGACACAAAAAUUAUGUUGAAUUAAUCAAGUUUAGGUCAGCGUAUGCCUUAAACAAUGAGAAAAACACGCAAACUGCAUGAAAGCAAGCUAUAACAGGGCCC